ACUCUUCACUGAGCAGCAUACGCCCUCUUUUGGAUAUUCUUCCAAGUUUCUAUUUUCCAACUUUAGUGAAAUAUACUUCAGUAAGCACGUACACAGAUUCAACAGAAGAUAUGGGAUCGAAGUCUGAAUCCGUUUGUGUCACUGGCGCGUCCGGUUUCAUCGGCUCCUGGCUCGUCAUGAGACUCCUCGAGCGCGGUUACACCUUCCGUGCCACCGUGCGUGACCCCACGAAUCAAAGAAGGUGAAGCAUCUGUUGGACUUGCCGAAGGCGGAGACGCACCUGACGCUGUGGAAGGCGGAUCUGGCGGGCGAGGGAAGCUUUGAUGAAGCCAUACAAGGCAGCACCGGAGUGUUCCAUGUUGCUACACCUAUGGACUUUGAGUCCAAGGACCCCGAGAACGAAGUGAUCUAGCCAACAAUCAAUGGACUUUUGGACAUCCUGAAGGCAUGCCAGAAAAUCAAAACAGUUCGAAGGUUGGUGUUCACAUCCUCAGCAGGGGAAUCGGAUCCCAAUAAUUUGAGCCUAAGGAUUAGUAAAUCAGGAUCGUUGAAAUUUGAUCAAAUGGCUACAAACAGGGACCUUUCUAAAAGUUAUAAUAAUUGUAGUCAUUUGAUCAAAUUUCAACGGCCCGGAUUCAUUGAUUAGUGGGCUCAGAUUAUUGGGAUCUGGAGGAGAUCCGGUUCCCUCAGCAGGAACCGUUAUUAUGGAAGAGCACAAAACGUCGGUCUACGACGAAUCCAACUGGAGCGACUUGAAUUUUGCCGCUCCAUCAAGACGACUGGUUGGGUAAAUAAACAUGAUCGAUUUGUUAUUGGUAUUUCAAAAUAAUAGUCGCGAACAAUACAUAUUCUAAAUUUAA